AUUGAACGCUGGCGGAAUGCUUUACACAUGCAAGUCGAACGGUAGAGGGGGCAACCCCUCGAGAGUGGCGAACGGGUGAGUAAUAUAUCGGAACGUGCCCAGUCGUGGGGGAUAACGUAGCGAAAGUUACGCUAAUACCGCAUACGAUCUACGGAUGAAAGCGGGGGAUCGCAAGACCUCGCGCGAUUGGAGCGGCCGAUAUCAGAUUAGGUAGUUGGUGGGGUAAAGGCUCACCAAGCCAACGAUCUGUAGCUGGUCUGAGAGGACGACCAGCCACACUGGAACUGAGACACGGUCCAGACUCCUACGGGAGGCAGCAGUGGGGAAUUUUGGACAAUGGACGCAAGUCUGAUCCAGCAAUGCCGCGUGCAGGAAGAAGGCC
rnacentral:rRNA from 1 species